rnacentral:rRNA from 1 species
GUGUCAGCAGCCGCGGUAAUACGUAGGGGGCGAGCGUUGUCCGAAUUUACUGGGCGUAAAGCGCGUGUAGGCGGCUCUCUAAGUCAGAUGUGAAAUCCUGUGGCUCAACCACAGAACUGCAUUUGAAACUGGAAGGCUUGAGUUUGGGAGAGGAGAGUGGAAUUCCUGGUGUAGCGGUGAAAUGCGUAGAUAUCAGGAGGAACACCCGUGGCGAAGGCGGCUCUCUGGUCCAACACUGACGCUGAGACGCGAAAGCUAGGGGAGCGAACGGGAUUAGAUACCCCGGUAGUCCUAGCCGUAAACGAUGGAUACUAGGUGUUAGAGGUAUCGACCCCUCUAGUGCCGUAGCUAACGCAUUAAGUAUCCCGCCUGGGGAGUACGGCCGCAAGGUUGAAACUCAAAUGAAUUGGCGGGG